rnacentral:misc_RNA from 1 species
GAUGAAGAACUAGCGAAAUGCGAUAAGUAAUGUGAAUUGCAGAAUUCAGUGAAUCAUCGAAUCUUUGAACGCACAUUGCGCCCGCCAGUAUUCUGGCGGGCAUGCCUGUUCGAGCGUCAUUUCAACCCUCAGGGCCCUUUUGGACCUGGCGUUGGGGCUCGGCCGCUACCCUGCGGCCGUCCCCGAAAGAUAGUGGCGGUCUCGCUGUAGCCUCCUCUGCGUAGUAGUUACAUCUCGCACUGGAACGCGGCGCGGCCAUGCCGUUAAACACCCCACUUCUCAAGGUUGACCUCGGAUCAGGUAGGAAUACCCGCUGAACUUAAGCAUAUCAAUAAGCGGAGGA